rnacentral:misc_RNA from 1 species
UAAUAAAGCGUUUUAUGGCACUUUUAAAAAUCCAUAUCCACCUUGUGUGCAAUGUUAGAUCUCGUCAAUCUUGGCGAGAUUUUUAUACACCAACUCAUUCUUUGACUAAUUUUUCUGAAAAAUAUUAUGAAUACUUAAUUCAAAAUU